rnacentral:sRNA from 1 species
UAUACUGAGGCUGUGUGAUGAUGUAAAUA